rnacentral:rRNA from 1 species
AUUCCCCUAGUAGCGGCGAGCGAAGCGGGAAGAGCUCAAAUUUAUAAUCUGGCACCUUCGGUGUCCGAGUUGUAAUCUCUAGAAAUGUUUUCCGCGCUGGACCGCACACAAGUCUGUUGGAAUACAGCGGCAUAGUGGUGAGACCCCCGUAUAUGGUGCGGAUGCCCAGCGCUUUGUGAUACAUUUUCGAAGAGUCGAGUUGUUUGGGAAUGCAGCUCAAAUUGGGUGGUAAAUUCCAUCUAAAGCUAAAUAUUGGCGAGAGACCGAUAGCGAACAAGUACCGUGAGGGAAAGAUGAAAAGCACUUUGGAAAGAGAGUUAACAGUACGUGAAAUUGUUGGAAGGGAAACGCUUGAAGUCAGACUUGCUUGCCGAGCAAUCGGUUUGCAGGCCAGCAUCAGUUUUCCGGGAUGGAUAAUGGUAGAGAGAAGGUAGCAGUUUCGGCUGUGUUAUAGCUCUCUACUGGAUACAUCUUGGGGGACUGAGGAACGCAGUGUGCCUUACGGCGGGGGUUUCGACCUCUUCACACUUAGGAUGCUGGUGGAAUGGCUUUAAACGACCCGUCUUGA